rnacentral:lncRNA from 1 species
UGAUCAAAUUAUAACAAUAUGCUUUAAUAAAAAUGAUGUGAAUGGGGUCUUUCUCUCUCAAAAUAUAUUAUCAUACUAAACUCACCCAUUCUCUUGUGAUGAUGUGAGUGGAUAAAAUGCCUGCGUGAUCGGAGAUGAAGGGCGGUGAAUGACGCAGCCAUUGUGACGUAGCAUUAUGCUACUAUCGACCUUCUGAUGAUGCAUCUGCCUCUGGACUGUGGUUGACCAUGGAUAGCUGAAACCACAGAAAGCAAAGCUGAGGAUAAGUGGGACUACUGUAUAACAAAUAUUUACAUCAAAUGUGGGAUUUCUGUAUUUUGAUGGUAAUCAGUUGGGGAAACAACACAUGAAGACUAGAAAUAUAAAAUAAUAAUAAAUAAAAAUAACAGUUCUGAAACAUAACACAGCAGAUAUUACAAGGUAGAUCUCGCUGCAUCAUAUUCAGAAAAAUGUGGACUGUGGAAUGAAAGACACCAGGAUGGGAUUCCUAAAGUUCUUUGUCACGAUACCCACCCCGUUGUUGGGUUUGGUCAUAUAUUAUGUCCAACGUCAUGUGAGCAGAUGUGGCAUGGCAUAUGCCACUUCCGAAUGGACACCUACAUCGCUCUCUCAUCCCUCUGCCAUGAGAAUGUGCUGUUUCAGCUCAGAGCUGCACCUUCAGAAUGAAGACGUGUGCAGCAGACCCAACCAAGCAGUCAACUUAGGGCGGAGACCCAGGCAAGACCUGCCCAUGUGUCCUCCUUCUGCUCAAAAACACCAUCUCCUCCACAUUCAUCAGUGA